ACCCGUCUAGCUCAGUUGCUAGAGUGCAAGACUCUUAACCUUGUGGUCGUGGGUUUGAGCCCCACGGUGGGCG
rnacentral:tRNA from 1 species